rnacentral:rRNA from 1 species
GGUUUUUUGGAAAAAUUAUAUAAAAAAUCUGGCCUGCCCACUGAAGAAUUGAAGGGCUGCAGUAUUUUGACUGUACAAAGGUAGCAUAAUCAUUAGCCUUUUAAUUGGGGGCUGGUAUGAAAGGUUUGACGGGGACUGACUGUCUCAAGAUUAAAAACAUAAAUUUUAUUUUUAAGGACAAGAGCUUAAAUAUAGCAAGGGGACGAGAAGACCCUAUUAAAUUUUAUUACUAAUAAGUAAUAUUUUAUUUUAAUAAACAUUUUAUUUAAGAAGUAUUUUUGCUGGGGCGGCAAGUAAGUAACUUUAUUUGGGUUUAAUAAAAUGUUUAACGUAGAUUUGAUCCACUUUGAAGUGACAAUGAGAAUAAAUUACUGUAGGGAUAACAGCGUAAUAUUUUUUGAGAGUUCAUAUUGACAAAAGUGUUUGCGACCUCGAUGUUGGAUUAAGAAGUCUUAUUGGUGCAGUUGUUGAUAAAGAGGGUCUGUUCGACCCUUAAAUUCUU